CGAGACAAGCACCCUCAUCCACCCUCUCGCUGCGCGCGACAACAGAUCAGUCAAGAACCAACCAUGGAGCCCCCCAAAGCCCCACCCGGAGUCACCAUCGUUCUUUCCCACCCACCUGCCAAACAUCCAGACCAUGUAUCAAGCUGGGAUAUUUCAGGGGCGAAUUGUCUUGGGGUGAGAUUUCUUUGGGGCGAGUUGUCUGAUUCCCAUUCCGAAUGGACUUUGAAAGAAACGAACGACAACUUUGUAAGAAAACCCGCCAAUGGGGCUCGCGACCAAUCGGAUGGAUGCUAUGCCUGCUGGGAUAGCCAUGCUCUUUUUCGACGCGGACAGUGGACCCGACAUGACCGACUUAACGGACUCGACGUGACGGACUCGACCUAAUCAAUUUUCUUUAUUCUUAGACUUAAGUCUAAGAAUUGUUUGGUGAAUACGGGCCUAGCAGAUUCUUUUGUGCACGAGAUGCGGUCAAAAAGAAGAAAAGACGAAAGAACCAAUCCAGACUUGGUGGCAGAGGAAAGUAUAAAAAAGAAUGCAGAUCUUGGUGGAUUUUGUGUGGAUACAAUUCCACCUAAAGGUAUUUCUUGUU